UACGUAGGGUGCAAGCGUUGUCCGGAAUUAUUGGGCGUAAAGAGCUCGUAGGCGGUUUGUCGCGUCUGCUGUGAAAACUCGGGGCUUAACUCCGGGCCUGCAGUGGGUACGGGCAUGACUGGAGUUCGGCAGGGGAGACUGGAAUUCCUGGUGUAGCGGUGAAAUGCGCAGAUAUCAGGAGGAACACCGGUGGCGAAGGCGGGUCUCUGGACAGUUCCUGACGCUGAGGCACGAAAGCGUGGGGAGCAAACAGG
rnacentral:rRNA from 1 species